rnacentral:tRNA from 1 species
GCCCCGGUAGUGUAACGGUUAAGCAUAUUGCCCUCUCAAGGCAAUGAUUCGGGUUCGAAUCCCGGCUGGGGCA